ACCGGCAGACGAGGUAGUAAUACGUGGGUACGCACUCUUUAGUUGGGCAUAGCUAGUCGAAAGAUUAGGUAAUUCCCAAUGGUCCCUCCGGGGUAAAGAUUUACCGCUAAAGAAGCGGCCUGCGCAGUAUCAGCUAGUUGGUAGGGUAAUGGCCUACCAAGGCAAUGACGCUUAGGGGGGGUGAGAGCCUGUUCCCCACCGAUGGAACUGAGACACGGUCCAUACACCUACGGGUGGCUGCAGUCGAGAAUCUUCCACAAUGGACGAAAGUCUGAUGGAGCGACGCCGCGUGGUUGAUGAAGUCCUUCGGGACGUAAAAACCUUUUAUGAGCCACUAAGUUAUUGAAGAGCUCAUGAAUAAGGAGUUGCUAAACUCGUG
rnacentral:rRNA from 1 species